AUGUAGAGUGUAGGACUUCAAUGUGUCUGUUUUUGAGGGCGCAGUUCAAACCAUAACACAAUGUUCUCUGGCUUAUUCAGCAAGGCUGAGUAAGAUUCUUCAGGCUGCUAAAGCUGUAGACUCUUCACCUACCCAAGAUCAAGUGCCCCUAAGCUAAAGAACAAGAGCAAUGACCCUAUGCUUCUCACCCCAACAAAGGCCAACUUUGUCAUUCCGGGUCAGCAUAACCACGUUAGGAGAUUACUUCAUUCCCGGCAUCUUCACCUCAAGAUAGCCUGUUUUCUCAGGCUGCCGUGAGCAAAUACUUCAAAGCGUGAGCGACUCUUGGACAUGUGACCAUCCACUGAAGAGUGCUCCACCUGCCCAGGACCACACCUUUAAAGAAAAGCUGACUCUCCUUCCUGAUCAGCUGCCGACUACCCAUAGCUGCUCAGCUAGACUUCACACCCACCUCCCCACUUCGAUGCUGGUGUUUUGUCUCAUUUCAGCUUCCAUAGGUCUUGUGCAUGAUGCCACAACUAUUGUGAGUUCGUGUGUGCAACUGCCCUACUGUUUCUGGAAAGCAUGAGUUUCUUGUAGUCAUCCCAACAUCUCCAGCCCUUAUGAUCUUUCAUCCCCCACUUCUGCAAUGAUGCUUGAAACUUUGAAAGCAUGUCGAUGAUGUAGAUGUCCUAUAUGACUGAGAACUCCAUGAUAACUUACCCUCUACAUCUUGA